UCUAUGAUUUAGUACCUAACUCGGAGUACACUGAUGUACGCGUGGCUAAAUGCUGUAAAUGCCGUUGCGUGACGACUUCUUGACAUUAAAAAGUAGUAAAUUGUUUAUGGUACUCAUGGAGGUGUGAUGUGAGUGUAGUGUUAAUAAUUUUCUCCUGAAAAUUUAGCGAAUAAUUUAAUAUUUAUACAGUAUAGUGUAAUGUCGUGACAGUGACAAAAAUGCAGUUCUACAAGGAAAGAAUACUCAACGCGGCGCAGUUAAAAAGACUAAGUGAACACAAAUACUCUUGUACCAGUGCCAGUAUAUUGGAUGCAUGGCUCCAGCCGUGGUGGUGCUGGCUGGUGUCUAAAACGCCGUUGUGGCUCGCACCGAAUCUCAUCACAAUAUUAGGUCUAAUUGUAAAUAUAGUCACCACACUUAUAUUAGUAUGGUACAGCCCAGACGCGCGGCAGGAUCCGCCACGAUGGGCGUGUGCGUUAUGCGCGCUAGGAGUAUUCAUUUACCAGAGUCUGGAUGCCAUAGAUGGCAAGCAGGCUCGUAGGACGGGGAGCCAGUCCCCUCUUGGAGAGCUGUUUGACCAUGGCUGUGACAGUAUAUCAACUGUGUUCAUUGCACUUGGUGCGUGCAUCGCUGUCAAGCUGGGCGAGUAUCCAACAUGGAUGUUCUUUCAGUGCUUCUGCGCAAUGACACUGUUCUACUGCGCGCACUGGCAGGCGUACGUGACUGGCACGCUCAAGAUGGGCCGGAUAGACGUAACGGAGGCGCAGUACUCCAUCAUCGGCAUACAUCUUGUCUCGGCCAUACUCGGCCCCAGCUUCUGGGCCACUCAGAUCCCGGUGCUCAACAUGCCGUUGAGCCUCCAGGCCAGCAUCAUGUGUAACACGGCACAGAUGUGCUUCGUCAUCAACUUUGUCACCACCUUCCAGGGGCGGGGCUGUGGCAAGAACGGAUCCACCAUCGCUUUGCCGAUAAAUAUCAGCAUCAAUCUGGUAUCGAACUACGCGGUCGUGUUUCUCACUCUGUAUCUAGUCGGCGGAUACAUUAGCGUUAUAAUGAAGGGUGGAGUGGGGAAAAACGGCUCCACCGUCGCAGGUACGAGCAUAUUAUCCCCAGUGAUCCCGUUCUCGCUAGUGGUGGUGCCGGCGUUCAUCAUCUUCCAAAAGAGCGAGUCCCAUGUGUACGAGAACCACCCGUCCUUGUACAUCAUGGCGUUUGGAAUGGUCGCUGCCAAAGUUACUAACAGAUUAGUGGUGGCUCACAUGACCAAGAGCGAGAUGGAGUAUUACGACUGGUCUCUACUGGGUCCGGCGAUGUUGUUCCUCAACCAGUACUUCAACAACGCGCUGCCCGAGUACUGGGUGCUGUGGCUGUGCACUAUAUGGGUGUGCGUGGACCUGGUUAGAUACUGCGGUCAGAUAUGCCUGGAGAUCUGUGAACACCUGAAGAUCCAGCUGUUCCGGAUUCCCUACCCGGCAGUGGGAGUCGCGCCCCCCAAGCCUCCCGCAGACAGAAACGGUGUUAGGUGCAGAGCGGUGUUCACAGCCACCACCGCGGCUUACCAGCGCCCGCCCGCGAUACUAGCCUUAUGAAUUAGUUGGUAGUGAGGCUUGCAACAUCUUAUAAAUUGGUAUUACAAGUGUAAACAUUCAUAUAGUAUGUCUGAUCGAUGAAAUUAUGUAGUAUGCAUUCGUGAAAUGUUAUUGCUAAAAACGAUUGGGGAUUUAAAUUGUUUAAAAAAUAUAAGUAUAUAAUAGUGUCUUAAAAGACCAGUAUCCAAAUAUUUUAAAUAGAAAACGCCUUAGAUGCGUACCUCUCAGUCCGCAGAUUACGAGCGUGCCGCCUAGAGGCCUGUAAUAUGGACCUAUACAGUAUGAAUGUUUAAACAUGAGUAUAAAUUUGGUACAGACACUUUGGUUGUAAAGUGCCACGCAGACCAAAUUCAUUAGUGACUGUGCCAAAAUUAUACCCACUGUUAUACCAAUUUCAUAGUUGUCAAAAAUGUAAUAUAUUUUCAAAAUUUGAAAUUGUUAAUUAUUGUAAAGAAUUACCAACAUCAAUAUUUGUUCUGCCCAUUUUAUUGAAGAUGUUGCAAGCCUGGGUAAGCGUAGUAAUAUUAACUUGCAAUGUAUUUACUUGUAAUAAAAUUAUUUUAACUCGCGCAAUUCUUUUAGUAUGUAUCUUAGCCAUAAUACAAAGAAAUCAAGAUUUCCUAAAAUAUUUCUAUUUGAUUUAUUUGUUAUACACAGUUAUUUAUUUGUCACGUAAAAAUUAUGCACCACGGGUGCUUUGUUUUUAUCACCUGUAUAUUAUGUUGCCCCAACGUCGAGAAACACCCAUCCCUAAAUACUAAAAAACAGUAUAUUUUUAUAUAAUUUUUCUUUGGUAAAUUCUUACUCCAUCAAAAAAAAAUUGUUUUCAAAUUCCGUUUUCUAGCAAUUAUUUGAAGUAAAUUGAAUACAAAUGUUUUGGGACACCUGUAUAGUACUUACAUCAUGUGAGUGCGAUAGUUUGUAGUUAGUAUUACUACGCUAAGGUGCGGCGGUGGUCGGUCCCGGACUAAACAGUUCUAAACAGUUGUUAUUGUUGUAGAUGAGCGUCGGUUAGCGGAUAGUUAUCGUAUACACAUAGGCGCCAAUGAUCACGGCGAGUGAGAGCGAGAAAUCAGACAGCGAAGACACAGUACCUCUUCUCAACAACAACAGUAUUAGUUAACCCAGUUAUUUGAACAAUAUAAUUAAGUAUAUUGAAAUAUAUGUUGUUUGUAGAAAUAUUAUAACUGAAAUUCUUCGUUUCUGUACAAACUGCGUUCUCUGAAUUGUAAUUUUAUUAUGAAUUAACGUCCAGUGUCGUUAUAGUAUACUGGGACGUUAUUGCAUAAUUAUAAAUUAAGUUUGAGUAAAUAAUAAUUUUAUAAAGCUGAUUUAUGUGCUAAUGUUUUUAAUUUUAAUGUAUGACAAUAUACCUAAUUUAUUUAAAAAGUGCAGGACACGACAUAAUUAAGUGCACGUAAUGAACUAGAUAGGUUGCAUGGAUCGUGAGCUCGAUAUAAAUGGAAUACAUAUAUUACUAGAAAGCAUGCUUAUUCCUCCAGCAUGCUCUGUGGUCUCCAUAUGUUUUCAAUUAUGAUUUUUUCGUACUCAUUCUAAUUUUGCAACGAUGCAGCGAUUACUCUUUUAAAGUACUUUUUUUUAAUGACAAAUGUUCUUCACGCGUACCUAAUGCUUAAAAUACUGUUGGAUCCAUACAGUUCAAUACUGUACGCUGUAAGAUAUAAACGUACCGGCUUAAACCAAAUUCUAAUAAACUUGAUUUAAUUGUUG
rnacentral:misc_RNA from 1 species